rnacentral:rRNA from 1 species
AACGAACGCUGGCGGCAGGCUUAACACAUGCAAGUCGAGCGCCCCGCAAGGGGAGCGGCAGACGGGUGAGUAACGCGUGGGAACGUACCCUUUGCUACGGAAUAGCUCCGGGAAACUGGAAUUAAUACCGUUUGUGCCCUACGGGGGAAAGAUUUAUCGGCAAAGGAUCGGCCCGCGUUGGAUUAGCUGGUUGGUGGGGUAAUGGCUUACCAAGGCGACGAUCCAUAGCUGGUCUGAGAGGAUGAUCAGCCACAUUGGGACUGAGACACGGCCCAAACUCCUACGGGAGGCAGCAGUGGGGAAUAUUGGACAAUGGGCGCAAGCCUGAUCCAGCCAUGCCGCGUGAGUGAUGAAGGCCUUAGGGUUGUAAAGCUCUUUCACCGGAGAAGAUAAUGACGGUAUCCGGAGAAGAAGCCCCGGCUAACUUCGUGCCAGCCGCCGCCGUAAUAC